rnacentral:rRNA from 1 species
GACGAACGCUGGCGGCGUGCUUAACACAUGCAAGUCGAACGAUGAAGCCGGAGCUUGCUCUGGUGAAUUAGUGGCGAACGGGUGAGUAACACGUGAGUAACCUGCCCUUGACUCUGGGAUAACUGCGGGAAACUGUAGCUAAUACCGGAUACGACCCUCGGAGGCAUCUCCAGGGGGUGGAAAGAAUUUCGGGCAAGGAUGGACUCGCGGCCUAUCAGCUAGUUGGUGGGGUACAGGCUCACCAAGGCGACGACGGGUAGCCGGCCUGAGAGGGGGACCGGCCACACUGGGACUGAGACACGGCCCAGACUCCUACGGGAGGCAGCAGUGGGGAAUAUUGCACAAUGGGCGCAAGCCUGAUGCAGCAACGCCGCGUGAGGGAUGACGGCCUUCGGGUUGUAAACCUCUUUUAGCAGGGAAGAAGCGAAAGUGACGGUACCUGCAGAAAAAGCACCGGCUAACUACGUGCCAGCCGCCGCCGUAA